GUCACUGACGCUGNGGCUCGAAAGCGUGGGUAGCGAACAGGAUUAGAUACCCUGGUAGUCCACGCCGUAAACGAUGAGUGCUAGGUGUUAGGCCCUUUCCGGGGCUUAGUGCCGGAGCUAACGCAAUAAGCACUCCGCCUGGGGAGUACGACCGCAAGGUUGAAACUCAAAGGAAUUGACGGGGGCCCGCACAAGCGGUGGAGCAUGUGGUUUAAUUNGAAGCAACGCGAAGAACCUUACCAGGUCUUGACAUCCCGAUGCUAUUCUUAGAGAUAGGAAGUUACUUCGGUACAUCGGAGACAGGUGGUGCAUGGUUGUCGUCAGCUCGUGUCGUGAGAUGUUGGGUUAAGUCCCGCAACGAGCGCAACCCUUAUUGUUAGUUGCCAUCAUUAAGUUGGGCACUCUAGCGAGACUGCCGGUAAUAAACCGGAGGAAGGUGGGGAUGACGUCAAAUCAUCAUGCCCCUUAUGACCUGGGCUACACACGUGCUACAAUGGUCGGUACAACGAGUUGCGAGCCGGUGACGGCAAGCUAAUCUCUGAAAGCCGAUCUCAGUUCGGAUUGGAGGCUGCAACUCGCCUCCAUGAAGUCGGAAUCGCUAGUAAUCGCGGAUCAGCACGCCGCGGUGAAUACGUUCCCGGGCCUUGUACACACCGCCCGUCACACCACGAGAGUUUGUAACACCCGAAG
rnacentral:rRNA from 1 species